UGGCAGCCCCCCAGUGCAGCAUCCCGGCCUCAUUCCCAGGACCCUCAGGGGGAGCCUGAGCAUCCAGCCCACCCUGAGAAAACGUCAGAAGGAAAGUUUCUUUUCCAGCUGCACCCGAAGGAACACUUCUUACAUGAAUUUACCAACUUUGCUAGAUGUCCAUUUAAUAUAGAUGCAUAUGACGAGCAUGCAAAUUAUGACUGUCCGGCUCUAGCAGGUAAGGAAGCAACUCUGACUCUUCUAUUAUUACCAUCUCCCAAUUAGACUGAAACCCAAGUACCUGAAUGCAAUGCUUUCAGAAGUGACACGGGCCAGGCACCCUGGGAUGAUGAAAUGCCAGGCCCAUCUUAUUCUAAGUUAAAGCAAAUUCAUGCUUCUCCAUCUUCUGUUUUAAACACUUCUGGAAGCUCUGAUGAAGACCCUUCUGCAAACAUAACUGGGUUGCAGAUGUCACAACCAGCAAAAGUAGAAGCAACAGGCCCAAGAAAAGGGGGACGGAUUGUAUCAAAGAGGACCUGAAAUGCGUGGAUGUCACCCUGAAAAUGCGCUGGAUGGAGCCAAAUGGAGAAGACCCUGCCAUAACAUGGGAAGAGCACUUAGAAGAAGAGCAGCCUAUCCAACUGCGCAGCUUUAGUGCUGCUGAUGCUGGUUGAUCUGCAUUAACUUCCUCUGCUGGUUCCAGAGAUAGUCUGGCCAAUCAUAAGAAUAAUGAAUGUCUCUCCUCAGUGAGAAUAGAAGAUC